rnacentral:rRNA from 1 species
CGCAUCUGUGCAUGCAGCAUAUCAAUAAGCGGAGGAAAAGAAACUAACAAGGAUUCCCCUAGUAACGGCGAGUGAAGCGGGAAGAGCUCAAAUUUGAAAUCUUAAAGGGUUUCCCUUUACGAAUUGUAGUUUAAAGAAGUGUUUUCUGUUGAGGUUUUGGUAAAAGUUCUUUGGAAUAGGACAUCAUAGAGGGUGAGAAUCCCGUAUUUGACCUUUACUUUCAACUUUGUGAUACACUUUCAAAGAGUCGGAUUGUUUGGGAAUGCAGUCCAAAAUGGGUGGUAAAUUUCAUCUAAAGCUAAAUAUUGGCGAGAGACCGAUAGCGAACAAGUACCGUGAGGGAAAGAUGAAAAGAACUUUGAAAAGAGAGUUAAACAGUACGUGAAAUUGUCAAAAGGGAAGCGUUUGACACCAGUGUUGUUUUUCUGAAAAUCAAUUAAAGAACUGUUUAUGCUAAGUUGUUUAGACUUUAUCAGCUAACUGUUUAGUUUUGAGCUUUUCUUUAAUGCACUUUUCAGUUAACAAGUCAACAUCAAUUUCUUUUGCUGUAAAAAAGCUUGAGGAAGGUGGCUUGAGAUUCGUCUUAAGUGUUUAUAGCCUCUUGCCUAUGCAGUCGGAGAGAUUGAGGUCUGCAGCGUAGAUCCUUCGGGGCUAAAUGCAUUUGUGCUAAGUUAUAACACUUUAUAGACAACUUGUUGACUAUGAUUUGUCUUGUAGCUUACUCGCUUAUGUUAUUUUACCUACGCUUAGGAUGUUGACAGCAGUAUAGACUGU